rnacentral:rRNA from 1 species
AGCGAACGCUGGCGGCAGGCCUAACACAUGCAAGUCGAACGAAGUCUUCGGACUUAGUGGCGGACGGGUGAGUAACACGUGGGAACGUGCCCUUUGGUACGGAAUAACUCAGGGAAACUUGAGCUAAUACCGUAUGUGUCCUUCGGGGGAAAGAUUUAUCGCCAUUGGAGCGGCCCGCGUCUGAUUAGCUAGUUGGUGAGGUAAAGGCUCACCAAGGCGACGAUCAGUAGCUGGUCUGAGAGGAUGAUCAGCCACAUUGGGACUGAGACACGGCCCAAACUCCUACGGGAGGCAGCAGUGGGGAAUCUUGCGCGAUGGGCGAAAGCCUGACGCAGCCAUGCCGCGUGAAUGAUGAAGGUCUUAGGAUUGUAAAAUUCUUUCACCGGGGACGAUAAUGACGGUACCCGGACAAGGAGCCCCGGCUAACUUCGUGCCAGCAGCCGCAGUAACAC